CAGGCUUAACACAUGCAAGUCGAGCGGGGAGAGGUGGCUUGCUACCUGACCUAGCGGCGGACGGGUGAGUAAUGCUUAGGAAUCUGCCUAUUAGUGGGGGACAACAUUCCGAAAGGAAUGCUAAUACCGCAUACGCCCUACGGGGGAAAGCAGGGGAUCUUCGGACCUUGCGCUAAUAGAUGAGCCUAAGUCAGAUUAGCUAGUUGGUGGGGUAAAGGCCUACCAAGGCGACGAUCUGUAGCGGGUCUGAGAGGAUGAUCCGCCACACUGGGACUGAGACACGGCCCAGACUCCUACGGGAGGCAGCAGUGGGGAAUAUUGGACAAUGGGCGCAAGCCUGAUCCAGCCAUGCCGCGUGUGUGAAGAAGGCCUUUUGGUUGUAAAGCACUUUAAGCGAGGAGGAGGCUACUUGGAUUAAUACUCUAGGAUAGUGGACGUUACUCGCAGAAUAAGCACCGGCUAACUCUGUGCCAGCAGCCGCGGUAAUACAGAGGGUGCGAGCGUUAAUCGGAUUUACUGGGCGUAAAGCGUGCGUAGGCGGCUUUUUAAGUCGGAUGUGAAAUCCCUGAGCUUAACUUAGGAAUUGCAUUCGAUACUGGGAAGCUAGAGUAUGGGAGAGGAUGGUAGAAUUCCAGGUGUAGCGGUGAAAUGCGUAGAGAUCUGGAGGAAUACCGAUGGCGAAGGCAGCCAUCUGGCCUAAUACUGACGCUGAGGUACGAAAGCAUGGGGAGCAAACAGGAUUAGAUACCCUGGUAGUCCAUGCCGUAAACGAUGUCUACUAGCCGUUGGGGCCUUUGAGGCUUUAGUGGCGCAGCUAACGCGAUAAGUAGACCGCCUGGGGAGUACGGUCGCAAGACUAAAACUCAAAUGAAUUGACGGGGGCCCGCACAAGCGGUGGAGCAUGUGGUUUAAUUCGAUGCAACGCGAAGAACCUUACCUGGUCUUGACAUAGUAAGAACUUUCCAGAGAUGGAUUGGUGCCUUCGGGAACUUACAUACAG
rnacentral:rRNA from 1 species